GAUGAACGCUAGCGGCAGGCUUAAUACAUGCAAGUCGUGGGGCAGCAGGACUGUAGCAAUACAGUUGCUGGCGACCGGCAAACGGGUGCGGAACACGUACGCAAUCUACCCAGAACUGGUGAAUAGCCCUCCGAAAGGAGGAUUAAUACACCGUAAUAUUAUAAAGUGGCAUCACUUAAUAAUUAAAGCUCCGGCGGUUUUGGAUGAGCGUGCGGCCCAUUAGGUAGUUGGUUGAGGUAAUGGCUCACCAAGCCUGCGAUGGGUAACUGGUGUGAGAGCACGACCAGUCACACGGGCACUGAGACACGGGCCCGACUCCUACGGGAGGCAGCAGUAAGGAAUAUUGGUCAAUGGACGCAAGUCUGAACCAGCCAUGCCGCGUGGAGGAUGAAGGCCCUCUGGGUUGUAAACUUCUUUUAUGGGGGACGAAAUCACUUAUUCUUAAGUGUCUGACGGUACCCCAGGAAUAAGCACCGGCUAACUCCGUGCCAGCCGCCGCCGUAA
rnacentral:rRNA from 1 species